GUAGGGAAUAUUGCACAAUGGACGCAAGUCUGAUGCAGCAACGCCGCGUGCUCGAUGAAGGCCUUCGGGUUGUAAAGGGCUUUUCGGGGAGAAGAGCAAGGACGGUAUCCCCGGAAUAAGGAUCGGCUAACUACGUGCCAGCAGCCGCGGUAAAACGUAGGAUCCGAGCGUUAUCCGAAUUCACUGGGCGUAAAGCGCGUGCAGGCGGCCGGGCAAGUUGGAUGUGAAAGCUCCUGGCUCAACUGGGAGAGGACGUUCAAGACUGUUCGGCUCGAGGCCGGUAGAGGGAAGUGGAAUUCCCGGUGUAGUGGUGAAAUGCGUAGAUAUCGGGAGGAACACCAGAGGCGAAGGCGGCUUCCUGGACCGGACCUGACGCUCAGACGCGAAAGCUAGGGGAGCGAACGGGAUUAGAAACCCCGGUAGUCC
rnacentral:rRNA from 1 species